GACGAACGCUGGCGGCGUGCCUAAUACAUGCAAGUAGAACGCUGAAGGAGGAGCUUGCUUCUCUGGAUGAGUUGCGAACGGGUGAGUAACGCGUAGGUAACCUGCCUGGUAGCGGGGGAUAACUAUUGGAAACGAUAGCUAAUACCGCAUAAGAGUAGAUGUUGCAUGACAUUUGCUUAAAAGGUGCAAUUGCAUCACUACCAGAUGGACCUGCGUUGUAUUAGCUAGUUGGUGGGGUAACGGCUCACCAAGGCGACGAUACAUAGCCGACCUGAGAGGGGGAUCGGCCACACUGGGACUGAGACACGGCCCAGACUCCUACGGGAGGCAGCAGUAGGGAAUCUUCGGCAAUGGACGGAAGUCUGACCGAGCAACGCCGCGUGAGUGAAGAAGGUUUUCGGAUCGUAAAGCUCUGUUGUAAGAGAAGAACGAGUGUGAGAGUGGAAAGUUCACACUGUGACGGUAUCUUACCAGAAAGAGACGGCUAACUACGUG
rnacentral:rRNA from 1 species